rnacentral:rRNA from 1 species
UAGGGAAUCUUCCACAAUGGACGCAAGUCUGAUGGAGCAACGCCGCGUGAGUGAAGAAGGUUUUCGGACCGUAAAGCUCUGUUGUUGGUGAAGAAGGAUAGAGGUAGUAACUGGCCUUUAUUUGACGGUAAUCAACCAGAAAGUCACGGCUAACUACGUGCCAGCAGCCGCGGUAAUACGUAGGUGGCAAGCGUUGUCCGGAUUUAUUGGGCGUAAAGCGAGCGCAGGCGGAAGAAUAAGUCUGAUGUGAAAGCCCUCGGCUUAACCGAGGAAUUGCACCGGAAACUGUUUUCUUGAGUGCAGAAGAGGAGAGUAAAACUCCAUGUGUAGCGGUGGAAUGCGUAGAUAUAUGGAAGAACACCAGUGGCGAAGGCGGCUGUCUGGUCUGCAACUGACGCUGAGGCUCGAAAGCAUGGGUAGCGAACAGGAUUAGAUACCCUGGUAGUCCAUGCCGUAAACGAUGAGUGCUAAGUGUUGGGAGGCUUCCGCCUCUCAGUGCUGCAGCUAACGCAUUAAGCACUCCGCCUGGGGAGUACGACCGCAAGGUUGAAAC